rnacentral:lncRNA from 1 species
CCUCGAUGCUCCGCCGCUCGCGGCUGGGGGGUCCGGGGCCGCGUCUGCUCUCCUCCCUCCGCCUCUCCUGUUUCCUCCUUCCUGCUGCCUCUUCUUUUAAAGCGGAUUCUUUGGCCACAAAUAGCAACUCGGCUGCCCCCCUCGGUGCCUCCCUCCCCUUCUCUUCUUCCCCCCAAAAGUGAAGCGCACGCGAGGUAAAGAAACGAAGACCCUGAGAAUUUAAAAUCAUCCAACUAUUUGGUGCCAGAAGCAGGACAAGAACUCAGACAUCAUGAUCCAGUGCCCUCCAUCCCACCAGCUAUUCAUCAUCACCUCCACAUUCUGGAUCAAAGAAGCCAGUUUUCCAACUUAUCAAUGAGCAAUACAUAUAGAAUAUUUUAAAAACUCCAAAUACUUUUAUGAAGGAAAAAUGAAGCAAUAGGACAAGACAUUUUCUUCGUUUCCUUCCAGCUCUAACAUUCUGUGAUAAAUAGCACACAGGAGCUUUGCUAUAGCACUACCCCCUCUAGUGCAUAAUUCAGCAUACGAUGAGUAUGAGUCUGUUUUGGACCCCAUCCAAAGGAGUUAGUUCCUAGAAGUACUUGGAAGAUUUAUUCUCAUUUAUCAUGAGGCAUCCUAACAGGAGACUAAAAAGAAUCACGAUGACAAUAAUAGUAAUCAGUUGUUACACUUGUAUUAUGUACUAAGCAUCGCGCUAAGCAUGUUAAAGUUCACCCGUUUUUGAAAAGGCACUUCAUGACCUUAUGUGGGUUGCGAAUCUAGUGGGUCAUAAACAAUUUCUGAAAUGAAAGAAAAGUAGGAAAAAACACAGAGUACAUUAUACAUACUAAGUUGUUUUAUUUUUUAUUUUUUUAUUUUUUUUUUUGCAAAACUUCCUUUUUGAUCAUGUGGCUAGUGAUUAAAAGUUUGGAAGCACUGCCUCGUUUCCAAUCUUAACUGCCUUGCUAGUUAAGUAUUAUUAGCCCAAUUAUAUAAGUGAGGAAACAGGACGAGAGAGGAUAAGUAAUUUGGCCAAGCUGACAUAGUGAGUGGCCAAGCUAGAAUUUUGAACCUAGAUCUGUUUGACUUCAAAUCCGAUAUUUUCACUUCUAUAGUGAUGAUAAAUUAUUGACCAAGGUAUGGAAUAAAUUGUUGCUAAUCAUGUUUUCUUUGUGAGGACUACUGGGGUUUUUAUUAAAUCCAGCUAAAUGGAGAAACACAGCAUAGAUUCAAGUGGCAUGUUCGGAAUAGUGAGGAAUUUCAUAAAACACUAAAUCUAAUAUCUAAGACCUUUUCCUAUAGGUGUUAGCUUAUGUCUAAUACACUUUAUUAACUUACUGCUAAAUACAUAAAUGAAACAAUAAUAGUUUCAGUCCUCAAAUAACUUAAAUAUUCACUUCUACAUGUGUUUCUAUUUUUAUUUCAGAGAGUAUUUUUCAAAUUUAAGGUAUACAGCAUUUCUCAGUAGCUUGCUUUGGCCAAACACAGAACUAGCACAUAAGAAAGCUAAAAGGCCAGGCACUGUGGCUCACACCUGUAAUCCCAGCACUUUUGGAGGCCAAGGCAGGCAGAUCACCUGAGGUCAGGAGUUUGAAAUCAGCCUGGCCAACAUGGUGAAACCCGUCUCUACUAAAAAUACAAAAAUUAUCUGGGCGUGGUGGCACGUGUCUGUAAUCCCAGCUACUCGGGAGGC